rnacentral:rRNA from 1 species
AUGAACGCUGGCGGCGUGCCUAAUACAUGCAAGUCGAGCGAACGGACGAGAAGCUUGCUUUUCUGAUGUUAGCGGCGGACGGGUGAGUAACACGUGGAUAACCUACCUAUAAGACUGGGAUAACUUUGGGAAACCGGAGCUAAUACCGGAUAAUAUUUUGAACCGCAUGGUUCAAAAGUGAAAGACGGUCUUGCUGUCACUUAUAGAUGGAUCCGCGCUGCAUUAGCUAGUUGGUAAGGUAACGGCUUACCAAGGCAACGAUGCAUAGCCGACCUGAGAGGGUGAUCGGCCACACUGGAACUGAGACACGGUCCAGACUCCUACGGGAGGCAGCAGUAGGGAAUCUUCCGCAAUGGGCGAAAGCCUGACGGAGCAACGCCGCGUGAGUGAUGAAGGUCUUCGGAUCGUAAAACUCUGUUAUUAGGGAAGAACAUAUGUGUAAGUAACUGUGCACAUCUUGACGGUACCUAAUCAGAAAGCCACGGCUAACUACGUG